UUCCUCUCAGGGUCGCACCUGGAGAGUUGCCAAUACUCUAUCAGUCUCGGCUACAGGACGGAGAGUCAAGCAGAGGCCGGUCCAUUCCAUUCCUAGUUUGGUCAGUGGCUAGAGAGUGGAAGACAAUCUGCUACAAGU